GUUGAAGGCAUGCCUGAUGAGUUCGUUGUCUAUUUAUCCUUUUCAAUUAGUAGGCUUGAGGGUUUGUUUGAGUUUUAAAUACAAUGUUUGUUUUGAUUGUUACUUCAAUUUUAUUAUGUCAUAUCGUUAAAUCCGUUAGGUAACAAGGAAAAGUCUCAUUUUGUGUAACUGUCAAUUUGGUAUGAUCAUGUUAUUACCCUUUUCUUUUCCUUCUCAUUUGUCUUUACUAAUUGUUUACUCUCUUUGUCCCAAUUUAUAUGACACACUUUUUUUUUUAGUUCGUCCCAAAAAGAAUGACAUAUUUCCGUAGUUGGCAAAUGCUUAAUGACACUAUCAACAUUUAUCCAUGUUGGGUCGCACUUAUUUGAAAAAAAAGGUUCACAAAAGUGUACUCUUCUGUUUAAGUUUUGUAAGGAUAUUUAUGGAACUUUGCACAGUCUUUCCAUAUUUCUUAAACUCCGUGCCUAGUCAAACUACAUCACAUAAAUUGGGACGAAGGUUGUAAUAAUUUUAUUUUAACCUUUACCUUGCCUUUUUAUAGUAGCUCUACUCCGUACUCUUUUUUUCUUGUAAAUUUAUCCUUCAAAUUGUUUAUAUGUGACAUUAUGUAACGACAGAAAACAAUAUAAUAUUUUUAAACAUUGUAUUCAUUAAAACAAUACAAUACGAUACAAUACACCACAAAAUAAUACAAUUUGAUACAUUAUGAAACAAUGCGUAACAACCAUCCAAACAGAGUGAAAGGAAUGGAUAGAAGCUUUACUGGGAGUACCAAAGGGUUGUUUCCAUGUUUGUCUGAGAACGGAUUAGAAGUUGUAAAUGUGGCUUAGUAAUUUAAAUUUUGGAAGCUUAGAACAAAUUUUACUAUCCAAAAGGUGACAGUUGUCUUUCGUGUCUGAAUUUUGGCUGCCAAAAUGCCAUUUUUGUCACCCUUCUGUAACUCUCGUCCGAGAUAAGUGAAUAUCAUCUCUAAGGGUAUUUCACAGUCUAGAACAAGUUUGAGAAAGAGUGCUUUGUGUACAUUCCAGCCUCUUAGAGCUUGCUACUUUACCUGUUGAUUUUGAAAGAAUCCAUCUUUCUCUGGACAAGGACAAUACCUCGAGGAGAAGAAGUUCAGAUUUGAAUCCUCUUUCUUUCUUUUAUUUACCCUCUAACUCAUUUGGACAAAGAAGUGAAACUGCUGACCCUCCUUCCUUUCUUUCUUUUUCCUUUUCUUUUUCUUUUGUAAAUAUGUUUAAAUCCUUUUUGAUUGUUCAUGUUUUAUUUUCUCCUUUUUAUGCCCAAGAUUGACAUUCUUCCUUUUGUCAUCUCAUUAAUGGGAGGAAAGACAUCCUGAAAACCCCACAUGUUCUCUUUCUUGUAAAUAUGCCACUGACGUUUUGCAAUAUGAUCUUUUUAUGUACAUGCUCAUAAGAAAGAUCAGGAGUUCUAAUCUAUGUCUUAUAAUGUCUGUUCGAGACAUCAUAUGCCUAAACCCUCUCCAUUGCUAAUCCACUCCCUGACCUUACUUAUAGUUUCAUUUCCUUCAUUUGAAUCUAAUGUUGAAAAUCUGACCAUUUAUGCAUUCAUCUAUUCUAUCCUGCUGAAAACAGAAUGUAGCCUGCUUUGCUCUUUGUAUAUGUGAAGGAACAAAUAAGCAUGCAGAGCUAAUAUUCUUCCUAUGAUCACUUUAUGCAUAUGUGAUGGAGAGAUCUUAGCUGCAAAUAAUGAAGCCUGUCUGGAGAAGUGUCAAUCUAAUUCUGGAUGCAUUGCCUAAUGCUUCUUAUUUUGUUGGAUAGUAACAAGCAACUAGUAACUAAAAGAAUCAUGUUAUACAUGGAAGCUCUUGACAUGAUUUUGACCUGACUGUCCCUAGACUGAGAAUUCUAUCUCCAUUACGGACUCUUGUUUUGCCGUGUUACUUUAAUUGCCACUGCCUUUUAGCUUUGAUAAUUAGAUGAACGGCUGUGCAUAUAAGUUCUAUUGACCUCCUAAAUGUUGAUUGGUAUCUUGUUAGUGAAAUAUCAUCCCAAGUGCUAAUGGUUUUUGUCCUGUCUGGACCAACUUGUCCUUUACUAUUUUUUUUUUCUUUUUUCUUUGUCUACUACAAGUUUUAUGCUUUUCCGGAAGAGAAAACGUGAUCUCAUUAUGACAUUAGAUAGUCGACACUCAACAUCACCAUUCUUUGUUUGCAAAUAUCUACUAGCUACUGUUUCUCUGCAUUACCUUAGUUCUUUGUCAGCUCUCCACUCUCGUUCCUUGUACCAUGUUGUGCUCUAGCAUGAACUGGCAAAUACAUUCUCAAUUUCACUUCCCAUGUGGGACCAUUAUCUCUUGAAUCUUUGAAGGAAACAUUGGAGGAAAGAUGACAAGCUCAGAGGUGUGGGAAUCAAUCCAGUGUGGAUCUAGAGGUCGGAUUCUUCAUCACAUGAAUUUUAGGAUUUGGGAGUAUGGAUCUGAGUGUACAGGUCUGUGGUGUUGUCUCUUUUACUCAUUCAAAUAAGGUACCCAUGAAGAGCUGAGGUCUCUUCCUCCCCUCCAACCCCUGCCCGCGGGCUUCUUAAAAUUUACUCUCUGCAAGCUCUAUGUGGAUGGAACUGCAAUCACUGCUAACACCUACUUCCUUGGCAAAUUCAGUGCAUCUACUUCCAGGAAAAAGAAACACCAAAUUGUAAUAGGAUGUGUACCAAGACCAAUAUCUGCUGGUCUCCGCUGAGAGUCCAGGCAAGUCUCAACUGUGCCUUUUUUCCUUCAACCUUUGUCUCCUGCAAUGAGUUCAACAAUGUAACAAGAAAAACCAUAGUAUACUGAGUUAUUCUCGUUAAGUUGAGUUUUGAUGCCUAUUUCCUGUACAGUAGACGUGCAUAUCAAUUAUAUUGUAGUUUGGAGUUGUUGUCAGUUGACGUUCUGUGCAGUGCUGAUAAAAUUACCUUACCAUUUUCACAGCUGAAAUGUCGUUAAUGCUGAUUUACACUUGGGAAAAGACAAAACAAAUGGUUCUUAAGCAAAAUUUUACUUCCACCCCCCAUUUCCCGUAGUUUGGUUCCUCGAGUUUUUGUUUUUGCUAACUUACAGUUGUAGAGUGAGGAGUGCUAUACAAUUUUGUACAGGAAACCCGAAAUUCUCAGCAGUCCUGCAUUUUUCUGCUGUU